rnacentral:rRNA from 1 species
GACGUAGGGCGCGAGCGUUGUCCGGAUUUAUUGGGCGUAAAGAGCUCGUAGGCGGUUUGUCGCGUCUGCUGUGAAAACCCGAGGCUCAACCUCGGGCCUGCAGUGGGUACGGGGCAGACUAGAGUGCGGUAGGGGAGAUUGGAAUUCCUGGUGUAGCGGUGGAAUGCGCAGAUAUCAGGAGGAACACCGAUGGCGAAGGCAGAUCUCUGGGCCGUAACUGACGCUGAGGAGCGAAAGCGUGGGGAGCGAACAGG